GGACGAACGCUGGCGGCGUGCCUAACACAUGCAAGUCAAAGAAAAGCGACUUCGGUCGUCGUACUUGGCGCAAGGGUGAGUAAUGUAUAGGUAAUCUGCCUUUUGGACUGGGAUAACCCCGAGAAAUCGGGGACAAUACCAGAUGAUGCAGCGGAAUCGCAUGGUUAUGUUGUUAAAGAUUUAUCGCCAAAAGAUGAGCCUAUAUCCCAUCAGGUAGUUGGUAAGGUAACGGCUUACCAAGCCUACGACGGGUAGCUGGUCUGAGAGGAUGAUCAGCCACAUUGGAACUGAGACACGGUCCAACUCCUACGGGAGGCACAUGAGGAAUAUUGCGCAAUGGGCGAAAGCCUGACGCACAACGCCGCGUGGAUGAUGAGGUUCUUCGGAAUGUAAAAUCCUUUUGCAGGGACGAACAGGUCGGCUUGCCGGCUGUGACGGUACCCUGCGAAUAAGCCACGGCUAACUCUGUGCCAGCAGCCGCGGUGAUACAGGGGUGGCAAGCGUUGUCCGGAUUUACUGUGUGUA
rnacentral:rRNA from 1 species